rnacentral:rRNA from 1 species
GUAGGUGAACCUGCGGAAGGAUCAUUACCGAGUGUAGGGUUCCUAGCGAGCCCAACCUCCCACCCGUGUUUACUGUAACCUUAGUUGCUUCGGCGGGCCCGCCUUUAAGGCCGCCGGGGGGCAUCAGCCCCCGGGCCCGCGCCCGCCGGAGACACCACGAACUCUGUCUGAUCUAGUGAAGUCUGAGUUGAUUGUAUCGCAAUCAGUUAAAACUUUCAACAAUGGAUCUCUUGGUUCCGGCAUCGAUGAAGAACGCAGCGAAAUGCGAUAACUAGUGUGAAUUGCAGAAUUCCGUGAAUCAUCGAGUCUUUGAACGCACAUUGCGCCCCCUGGUAUUCCGGGGGGCAUGCCUGUCCGAGCGUCAUUGCUGCCCAUCAAGCACGGCUUGUGUGUUGGGUCGUCGUCCCCUCUUCGGGGGGGACGGGCCCCAAAGGCAGCGGCGGCACCGCGUCCGAUCCUCGAGCGUAUGGGGCUUUGUCACCCGCUCUGUAGGCCCGGCCGGCGCUUGCCGAACGCAAAACAACCAUUCUUUCC